AGCAGUCGCGGUAAUUCCAGCUCCAAUAGCGUAUAUUAAAGUUGUUGCAGUUAAAAGCUCGUAGUUGAAUUUCGAGAUCAAAUUGUUGGUCGUGCCUUGGUACGCACUGGCAUUAUUGGUUUCUCCCUUCUGACGAACCAUGAUGUCAUUAAUUUGGUGUCUUGGGGAAUCAGGACUGUUACCUUGAAAAAUUAGAGUGUUUAAAGCAGGCAUUUUUGCUCGAAUACAUUAGCAUGGAAUAAUAGAAUAGGACGGCAUGGUUCUAUUUUGUUGGUUUCUAGGAUCACCGUAAUGAUUAAUAGGGAUAGUUGGGGGCAUUAGUAUUCAAUUGUCAGAGGUGAAAUUCUUGGAUUUAUUGAAGACUAACUACUGCGAAAGCAUUUGCCAAGGAUGUUUUCAUUAAUCAAGAACGAAAGUUAGGGGAUCGAAGACGAUCAGAUACCGUCGUAGUCUUAACCAUAAACUAUGCCGACUAGGGAUCGGAUGAUGUUAAUUUUUUAAUGACUCAUU
rnacentral:rRNA from 1 species